UACGUAGGUCCCGAGCGUUAUCCGGAUUUAUUGGGCGUAAAGCGAGCGCAGGCGGCUGGAUAAGUCUGAAGUUAAAGGCUGUGGCUCAACCAUAGUAUGCUUUGGAAACUGUUCAACUUGAGUGCAGAAGGGGAGAGUGGAAUUCCAUGUGUAGCGGUGGAAUGCGUAGAUAUAUGGAGGAACACCGGUGGCGAAAGCGGCUCUCUGGUCUGUAACUGACGCUGAGGCUCGAAAGCGUGGGUAGCAAACAGG
rnacentral:rRNA from 1 species